AUGGAGCCAAUGGAAACUGAAGGAGAAGCCGGCACUGAUGAUCCUGCCGACGAAGAGGCCACCAAAGCUGCCGCCGCAGAAGAUGGCGAGGGAUCCGGCGAUCGCACUGACGGCCCCGAGGCCGUAGGAGCGCCAGGCGCUGCGCCGACCGCCGAUCCCUCCGCCGCUGCUGCAGCGCCAGGCCCCGAAGGGCCCCAGCCCGGCGCCUAUUUGAAGGCCGGCGACGGUAUCUUCAUCAAGCUCCCCUGGGCGUCAAGCUCUAGGGCGCCGGUCGAAGGAGAAAUCUUAGACGGAGAGGUGCUCGCCUCCGCUGGGCUAACGUUGGUCGACGCGCCAAGCAGCAGCAGCGACGAGCCUGAGGAGGAGCGGCUGCUGCGGAAGCUGCUGUCGCUCUACCGCGCCCGACAAGCCAAGCUGGCAUCCCGAGAAGCACUUGUCGCGAAGGCGGGAGUGGACAUCGAGAAGUGCGCGGAGGAGCUCCGGGGUCUCAGGCAGGAAGCCCUCCGGUCCCUGGCGGAGGAGUGGGAGCAACUUGUCGAGGAGCGGAAAGCCUUCCUCCUCGCGAAGGCUGAAGUUGAAGAGCAACAGCGGCUCGCUGCCGAGAAGCUGUCUGCGCAGGAAGGUGAGUUGGCGCAGCGGAAGGUGAACCUUGACAGCCACGAGGAGGAGCUUGCCGCGCGCGAGCAAGCGAUUGGCGGGGCUCUCAAGGAGGCAAGGGAUGCUGCCGCAGCUGCCGAGGCCGCCAAGAAGGAGCUGGAGACGAAGGUGGCGCAGCUGGAAGCCGAUCUCAGGGAGGGCGGUGAGGAGCUUGCCGCGCUCAAGCUUGAGCGCGAGAAGGACGCUGCCGCUCAUGGUGAGCUGCAGGGUCUUCUUGCUGAGAGGGGCAAGGAGCUUAGCGCCGCCAAGGAUUCCAAUGCAGAUCUCGAGUUGAAGCUGGCACUUUGA
rnacentral:rRNA from 1 species